UUCCUCCUCUCUCUCUUCCGAAAAAUAUAAAUCUGGAACCCUUCUUCUUCCUCCAUCAUCAUUCAACAUCGUGAUAUCCAUUCCCACUUGCUUUAUCUCUCUCAACAGCUUUCCAAUCUGACGAGCUUCUCCUUCUUCUCCAUCACUGUUCAAUUCUGCUUCUUUCUGCUUCAUUGCACUGCAUGGAUGUACAGUUUAACGCAAAAGCGAAGGAUGCGAUAGGAAAAUCUGAUGCGAAUGUAAAAUAUGUGUUUGGCGUUCCGGUUAGAGCUUUCUCUGGCCUCUGUUUGUGUUUGUUGUAAAUUCCGUGAUUAUGUUAUUGGAUCUUGAUUCCUUGCUUGCGUAAACCCUAAUACCAUAAUUCUCGCUUUGAAAGGUAAACAUUUUAAGCCCCUGAUCUCGCGAAUUCGUCGGUGUUUGUCGGCUAAAAUAUCAGAUCUGGGUGGCGUCGGAGAUUGGUUGAAAUCAUUCAAGAUUUCUGUCUUCUUUAACCACAAUUUAAUCACCUCUGAUUUCGUUUUUCAAGUUAACAAUCAAUUCACGGUUUAAUCAUCUAUGUUAUUUUCUCAGAUCUACACACUGAAUAUGGCAUCAAAUCCCUCAAUGAUUUCCUCUCCGGAAUAACUUAUAUCUCUGGGGAUCAAUUGACAAAGGAUGAUAUUAAGGUUUAUGCUAUUGUUACUGAGAAGUCAAGUGGGUAUUUUCCCAAUAUUUUUAUUUGGUAUGAUGUUGUUCCUUCAAGCCUUGCCGUUAGG